GAUGAACGCUGGCGGCGUGCCUAACACAUGCAAGUCGAACGCCCUGUCUCGCAAGAGGCAGGGAGUGGCGGACGGGUGAGUAACACGUGGGUCAUCUGCCGUGAGGUGAGGAAUACCGGCGAGAAAUCGCCGACAAGACCGCAUAGGCUCGGUGCAAGCUGAGCAAAGCUCCCGCCAGGGGGCGCCACACGAGGAGCCCGCGCCCGAUUAGCUAGCUGGUGGAGUCAUGGUUCACCAGGGCGACGAUCGGUAGCUGGUCUGAGAGGACGAUCAGCCACACUGGGAUUGAGAACGGCCCAGACUCCUACGGGGGGCAGCAGUGAGGAAUUUUCGUCAAUGGGGGCAACCCUGAACGAGCAACGCCGCGUGCAGGAAGAAGGUUUUCGGAUCGUAAACUGCUUUUCCCAGGGACGAGAAGGGACGGUACCUGGGGAAGAAGCCCCGGCUAACUACGUGCCAGCAGCCGCGGUAAUACGUAGGGGGCAAGCGUUGUCCGGAGUUACUGGGCGUAAAGCGCACGCAGGCGGUUCUUUCAGUUCAAAGUGACAGUCGUCGGCUCAACUGACGAAGGACUGGGAAGACGGGAGAACUUGAGGGCUUCAGAAGGACACGGAAUUCCGGGUGGAGUGGUGAAAUGCGUAGAUAUCCGGAGGAACACCAACAGCGAAGGCAGUGUCCUGGGAAGUCUCUGACGCUCAGGUGCGAAAGCCAGGGGAGCGAACGGGAUUAGAUACCCCGGUAGUCCUGGCCGUAAACGAUGACCACCAGGCGUGGGGGGUAUCGACCCCCUCCGUGCCGGAGCUAACGCGGUAAGUGGUCCGCCUGGGGAGUACGGUCGCAAGAUUA
rnacentral:rRNA from 1 species